CUACGGGUGGCUCCUGUGGGGAAUAUUGCACAAUGGGCGCAAGCCUGAUGCAGCAACGCCGCGUGGGGGACGAAGGCCUUCGGGUUGUAAACCUCUUUUAGUAGGGAAGAAGCGCAAGUGACGGUACCUACAGAAAAAGCACCGGCUAACUACGUGCCAGCAGCCGCGGUAAUACGUAGGGUGCAAGCGUUGUCCGGAAUUAUUGGGCGUAAAGAGCUCGUAGGCGAUUUGUCGCGUCUGCUGCGAAAAUCCGAGGCUCAACCUCGGACCUGCAGUGGGUACGGGCAAACUAGAGUGCGGUAGGGGAGAUUGGAAUUCCUGGUGUAGCGGUGGAAUGCGCAGAUAUCAGGAGGAACACCAAUGGCGAAGGCAGAUCUCUGGGCCGUAACUGACGCUGAGGAGCGAAAGCGUGGGGAGCGAACAGGAUUAGAUACCCGAGUAGUC
rnacentral:rRNA from 1 species